rnacentral:lncRNA from 1 species
AAAUAGUGUGGACAAAAAACACGACACUUAGUGUAGCGUCUUUUUGGCUACACAAAUAGUGUACUUCAAGGCUACACUUGUGCGCUUCAAAGCCACACUUGUAAUUAUGAAAUUAAACUUCAUUAUAUGCGUAAAAAAAGCCACACUUAGUGUUGCACUUUGUUGGAUUCUCGUAUCGAAUUAUUCGGAAAAGAGACUAGAAUCAUGUUUUUAGCGACAUGUUUUUUUUUAAGAACCAUUUUCAGUUUUACUGAAAAUUUUAGUUAACUUUUAUUGCUGCAUGGUAAUUUUAAACACAUACAUAGUUAACUUUUUCAUAAAAAAAUAUUUGGUUUGUAAUAUUUUAGUAAUAUCGUAUUAAAUAUGUUAAGCGAGGAAAAUAUCGAUUUUCAGUUGUUAAAAAUUAGAAGAUGCAACUUUUCUUGCAUUUAAGGCGCUCCCUUUUCUUAUGAUAGCACCUCCACAGAAGAGCAAGAAGAGUCCAAGAAUUUGGGUAUAUUUUAUAGAGAAAUGGAUGUACACCUCAGUCUUGAAAGCUCCCUUGAGUUAUUGAAGAGGGAGAAAGUUUUUCUACUGAUUUUAUUCAAGUGUUGCAGCACUCUAUUUAUAAUUCAAAUUAUAACUCUAAUUAUAAGUCGAUAAUACAGCUAUACGGUUGAAAGCCAUACCGAGUAUUAGAUUUGCUUUUGAGUUGCAGCUAGUCUCUUAUUAUGUAUUUAAUGUCAAUUUUCCUCAUGAACUUAUUUGUGUAUAUAGAUUUAUGGGAAAUUUGCUUGGAAUAAACAACAAAAGAAUUAUCGUCAAUUCCUUUUAAAGAAAGUAUUGCCAAAAGUUUAAGAUUAAAUUAAGCAAUAUGUUUGUGAAACGAAAAAGUAUUUUUAUCACUUUCUUGUUUAUUUUUGUUAUAUCGUCAGCCGAGAACCAAGAGACCGUAUGUCUUUUUUUUUGUGUUUCCAAGAAAAUCAAGUUUCAAAUUUUAAUUUGCAAAGUCUUUCUUCCAGAAAAUUCGACUGAUUAUUUAAAUAUUUCCUAAAAUUUUAUUGUUGUGGUAUAUUUAUGAAACACACACUCCUGAAUAUUUAUUGAUAAUGGACAAAAAAAAAAAACACAAAAUGUUGAUAUACGAUUCUUCUCUGACGGCGGUAUCUAUUUUUCAAGGUUUUAACUCGCUUUUGCAUAUAAAUGUUUUAAGACUUGUUUUUAAUUUAAUAUUCACUGAAUUGAGUUUGAGUUUGAACUGAGUUUAUAUACUUAAAAGAAAUACUAUAACAAUGUAUUGACUCGGAAUUAAAAUAAAAUUUAUAUUUCAGUUUUUAUUAUUUUAUUGUGAUAUCGUUCCGUUAUUUCUUGUAAUCCAAUAUAAUAUACAUGUGUAAUUUAGUAUGACUCUAAAUGACAAUGUGUAAUUUAUUAUAUGAUAUAAAUAGCAUUCUUUA